AUUUUAUCAACAAUAUGAGAAGGUUGCACACAACCACAUGCUAUAUGACGAGCUAGUUCUGUUGCAACAAUCCCCUUGAACACAUAACCGUCUUCGAUUUUAAAUUCGCUCAGUGCUUGCUCAACUGUUUUAUCCUGAAAGAUGGGGAAGGGGCAUCAAACUUUUUGGUCAAGGGAUCCGCACAUGAACUAAUUCUAUCAUGGAAACGUGCAAUAUGACCUCUCUUCAUUCGGAAUUGAGAUGUUAAAUCCUCAACGCUUAAGCUUAGAAGUUCAGGCAAACAUUUCCCGGAGGACUCUAGCUUAUCUGCAUACUGCAUCAGAGAUCUGUCAUGCAGAGAAUUGCUCAACAAAUAUUGCCAAAGUGGAUGAUGAUAAGGAUGUCAAAUCUUGAAUAUCAAUAAAAAGAAUACUCCUAGCAAAAUGAGACCAAGUCAGCAUCCACCUCAAACAGAGACAAUUGAUAUUAUCAGAGAUUAGAUGAAAAGAGGAAAGAUUUCAACUGCUACGGCCAAAUCGAAGCACUUUUGAUCGACAGAGAUUACUUGAAAAUAAUAUAAAGAAAAAGAAGAUGAUUCAUGGUUGCUUGUUGUUCCAUAAUAUAUAUAUUUACAUAUUUAUAUAUAUAUAUAUGUAUAUGUAGGUGUGUAUCUAAAUGCUACAGUGGGUUGCAGUUGCCGGCCUUACACUUGCUUUAUGUUAUUGGGUUGAAGUUGAAAAUACAGGUUUGCAGGCUUUGUUUAAGCAA